CGUAGGCACUCUAGCAGACUGCCGGUGAUAAACCGGAGGAAGUGGGGAUGACGUCAAGUCCUCAUGGCCUUUAUGGCCAGGGCUACACACGUACUACAAUGGCCGGUACAAAGGGCAGCGACAUUGCGAGAUGGAGCGAAUCCCGAAAAGCCGGUCUCAGUCCGGAUUGGAGUCUGCAACUCGACUCCAUGAAGUUGGAAUCGCUAGUAAUCGUGGAUCAGCAUGCCACGGUGAAUACGUUCCCGGGCCUU
rnacentral:rRNA from 1 species